rnacentral:rRNA from 1 species
CCCUUAGAUGUUCUGGGCUGCACGCGCGCUACACUGAUGCACUCAUCGAGUUUAUGACCUUGUCCGAGAGGAUUGGGUAAUCUUCUUAAAAUGCAUCGUGAUGGGGAUAGAUUAUUGCAAUUAUUAAUCUUCAACGAGGAAUUCCUAGUAAGCGCGAGUCAUCAGCUCGUGCUGAUUACGUCCCUGCCCUUUGUACACACCACCCGUCGCUCCUACCGACUGAGUGAUCCGGUGAAUAAUUCGGACUGCAGCAAUGUUUGGAUCCCGAACAUUGCAGUGGAAAGUUUAGUGAACCUUAUCACUUAGAGGAAGGAGAAGUCGUAACA